GAUUGUUUUAAAUUUAUUUGUUAAUUUUAUCGUUUAAAAUUAAAAUUUUGUAGUUAAAAUUGGAUAAUUUUAGACUCUAUAUAGUGGUGGUAGUGCGCUAGAGGUUGCUUCUUCUGGCCCUUCCGGCAGAUUAUGCUCUGCCUCAACGUUACAAUCUACAGACGGCCCGUAUGUGCCCCGCUUUUGAGCUCCUUUGCCGUUCUUGUACAGGUUCCACGCAAGAUACAGCAACGACGCAACUCCUUGAAGUGAUUGGAGGCAUCCCGUCGUCAUAUGACCGGAAGGAGCUGGACGGGCUGCCGACGAAGAUGACUGAAGGGAAAUCAGGAGGUUCUCCACCAGCAGGACGAGAAAAUACCUACCGGAAGCGCAUUUAUUGGCUGUCCAGUAAAUCUUGCUGGUUCAUUCUCUAAGUCCUUACCGUUGCACAGACGAGCUUGGGACGGACACAAUCAUUCUCGGGGUCGGGCGACAGCAAGGAGACAAGCUUAUAUGCGAUGCGUUACGAUAGGAAAUUCCUGAGACGGCAACAUGGGAGGCAAGAUGAAAUUCAUUCUGCAUUGGUGCGGCGUUUGACGUGACGCUUCCGAGCCGCUCGGCUAUGUUGUUUUCCACGAUUACUGUCAGUGCCCAAACGACAAUCAAAUUAUUCUGGUCCUGUUGAAGGAUGGUAUCGAUCAUUAGCUGGAGAAGUAUCCGAAGAUGCCGGGAACUCCUCUGUUAGCCCAUCCCACAUGUUAGCCCAUCCCACAAAAGGCGUACAGGAAGAGUUAGAGCGUUUCGAUGGGAUUGAUUUCACCUGCUAACGGAAGUACGGUAGGUUACCCGGUUGGGUAACACACGUGAAAAGCGCGAUCUUCGAUUGCGAAGCUGUAUCAGGAAGAGAAGCAAAUUCUACCGUUCCAUAUUCUUAGCACCCGCAACUCAUCUGAAGUUUCGAGUGAGUUUCGAGUAAGAAGCCGUUGCGGAUCAGGACAACGCAUCAAAAAUUAAACAAACGAAAUAUGGUCACAGAAUUUCUGGAUAUGAAAACCUCGUGAAAACCCAUCUGUGGGCAUAACAUUAUGUAAAUAAUAGAAAUUUAUAUUAUAAAAUAAAUAGAAAUAUGAAAACACUUAAAUAUCAUG